GACGAACGCUGGCGGCGUGCUUAACACAUGCAAGUCGAACGGAAAGGCCCUGCUUUUGUGGGGUGCUCGAGUGGCGAACGGGUGAGUAACACGUGAGUAACCUGCCCUUGACUUUGGGAUAACUUCAGGAAACUGGGGCUAAUACCGGAUAGGAGCUCCUGCUGCAUGGUGGGGGUUGGAAAGUUUCGGCGGUUGGGGAUGGACUCGCGGCUUAUCAGCUUGUUGGUGGGGUAGUGGCUUACCAAGGCUUUGACGGGUAGCCGGCCUGAGAGGGUGACCGGCCCCAGGGGUGAGGGGACGCGCCCCAGGCUGAGACGAGGGGCGGGGUAGGGGAAUGUGGGAAGGGGGGGGGGAGCCGUGGGAGGCCGCGCGGCGGGCGGGAGGGAGGCCUUGGGGCGGAACCCCGGUGGCGCGUGUGGCGGAGCGUGGGGGACGGUAGUGGGGAAAGAAGCAGCGGCCAACUACGUGGCAGCGGAGCGGGUAAUAAUCGGAGGAGACGACGCUUGACC
rnacentral:rRNA from 1 species